UACGAAGGGUGCAAGCGUUACUCGGAAUUACUGGGCGUAAAGCGUGCGUAGGUGGUUUGUUAAGUCCGAUGUGAAAGCUCCCGGCUUAACUGGGAAAUUGCAUCGGAAACUGAUCGGCUGGAAGGUGGGAGAGGGUAGCGGAAUUCCCGGUGUAGUGGUGAAAUGCGUAGAGAUCCGGAAGAACACCGGUGGCGAAGGCGGUUGGCUGGGCCGUUGCUGACACUGAGGCGCGACAGCGUGGGGAGCAAACAGG
rnacentral:rRNA from 1 species